rnacentral:rRNA from 1 species
CUAGUUGGUAAGGUAGUGGCUUACCAAGGUGGUUACGGGUAACGGGGAAUCAGGGUUCGAUUCCGGAGAGGGAGCCUGAGAAACGGCUACCACAUCCAAGGAAGGCAGCAGGCGCGCAAAUUACCCAAUCCAGAAACUGGGAGGUAGUGACGAGAAAUAAUGGGGGCACUCCAAAGGGGUGGCAUCUGUCAUGAACGCAAAAUAAAAAUGUCGAUAAGGAACUACUGGAGGGCAAGUCUGGUGCCAGCAGCCGCGGUAAUUCCAGCUCCAGUAGUGUAUAUCAAGAUUGUUGCGCUUAAAACGCUCGUAGUUGGAUAUGUGAGCGUAAAGACUAUAUGGGUGUAGACUCAUUAGUUAUAUGCAAUCUAUAUUAUAUUCAAAAAAUAUAUAAAAGUGAAAACGCUCUUUGUGAGGGAGUCAAGUCUUGGCUUUUAUGCAAUCUGUUUUAGAUUCAAAAAAUAUAGAAUAGUGUAAACGCUCUUGGUGAUUGACUCAUGGUUUGGCUUUAAUUAGACAGGCUAUGGUGUCGAUGAAGUGGGCCUUGAAUAAAGCAUAGGGCUCAAUGCAAGCAAAUCGCUGGUGUGUAAUAGCAUGGAACGAAUAGACUGUCUUGUUAGUCUCACUUAAUAGUGAGGCUAACGCGCCAUUAUCGGUUGGUGGCGCAGACGUCGGUGGUUAAGAGAGACAUCUGAGGGCAUUGGUACUUUGGGGCGAGAGGUGAAAUUCUUAGACCCUCAAAAGACGAACUACUGCGAAGGCAUUUGCCAAGAAUGUUUUCAUUGAUCAAGAACGAAGGUCAGAGGAUCGAAGACGACCAGAUACCGUCCUAGUUUUGACAGAAAACUAUGCCAGCAUAGGCUUGGGAUGAUCACUCAAUUGAGACGAAUCAUCGCUGUCCUUAAGGGAAACCUUAGCUUUGGGGCUGCUGGGAGAAUAUCGCUGCAAGGCUGAAAUUUAAAGAAAUUGACGGAGAGGCACCACCAGGAGUGGAGCUUGCGGCUUAAUUUGACUCAACACGGGAAAACUCACCGGGUCCAGACAUUGGUAGGAUUGACAGACUGGUGGAUCUUUCAUGAUUCAGUGGAUGGUGGUGCAUGGCCGUUGUUAGUUGGUGGAGUGAUCUGUCAGGUUUAUUCCGGUAACGAGCGAGACUGCGAUUUUUAUUUGGAGUCCCUGGCUCUUGUAGUGUAGGGAUGUCUAUAAAAAGACUAUUGGUAACAAGCCAGCGGAAGCGCAGCAAUAACAGGUCUGUGAUGCCCUGCGAUGUCCUGGGCUGCACGCGUGCUACAAUGGCAGCAAAAGAAGGAUACUGGCCCGAAGGGGUUGGUAAAACGAGAAUAGCUGCCGUGAUGGGGAUUGAGGUUUGUAAUUAUUGCUCAUGAAAGAGGAAUUCCUCGUAAGCACAAGUCAUCAGCUUGUGUUGGAUACGUCUCUGCCUCUUGUAC